CACACAGACGAUGAAAAGCCCGGAACAAGAAAUAUGAGAGAAAAACAGUAAAAUAGAGAAAACAGCAUUUUAUUUUGUCUAAUACCUUUUUCCUGUUUUU
rnacentral:ribozyme from 13 species